rnacentral:lncRNA from 1 species
ACAUGAGAUUUUAAUUUGGUAUCAAAAACAUGUCCAUCAGAGAGUUGUUAAAUUUAUGCAUGUUUCAGAGGUAUAAAUUAAAUCACCCAAUGUAGUUACGUCAUGAUCCCAUUAGUUUGAAGGGUAACCUUGAAUGUUGGUUGCCCAUAGUUUGAUGAAGGUAAAAUACACAUAUUCCCAUUAGUAUAAAUAGUUGACAUUCAAUUGUAGUCUCAACAACGAGUGUGGGAGUUAAACAAUAAUAGCAAAAAUUACAACUAACUUUUGUGUUUUAGAAGAAAGUUUUGAUGUUAUUUUGAGUGUUUAUUGUUAUAGCUUCUUAAUUUUCUCAAGGCAAUAACUUUAUUUGCCAACAUUUGGUAUCAGAGCCAAAUUGAUGAUUCCUACAAGUUAUAUUUCUGAUGUAUUAUGUGUACCUGGUAUAUGUCAGAAUCUUUUAAGUGAGGGAUAACUUCUUGAGAAAGGAAUCGUCUAUUUCUAAUGAACAUCAAGUAUGAUGUUGAUAUAUGUUACAAACAUGUAGUUGUUGAUGAUAAUUGGCUUUGGCAUACACGUCUUGGACAUUAUAACUUUUAAAGCAUUGAGUUUCUUGCAAAUAAGAAAUGGGUUAGUGGCUUGCUGGUUAUCUAAUUUCUUGAUCAACUGUGUGAAGCUUGUGUAGUAGGCAAGAAGCAUUGAGAUCCUUUUCCUAAAGGGAAUGCAUGGAGAGGUACAAAAUAACAUAAGUUGGUGGAUUCUGAUUUAUGCUAUGUGGAAGUUUCAUACAAUGGAGGUAAUUAAAAUUUUACUACUUUCAUUGAUGACUUUAGUAGGAAGAUAUGAGUUUAUGUUUUGAAAACUAAUUCGGAUGCUUGUGAUAUGCUCAAAAGAUUUAUAGCGUGUCUUUAAAGGAGAAGUGGUUAUACUCUGACAAACCUUAAAAGUUAAUAGGGGAAAAGUAUAUUUUUUAUGAUGCUUUCUUGAUAAAUAAAGGAAUUAAACAUCAAAUGAAUGCUAGAUACACCCCCUCAACAAAAUGGAGUAGCAAAAAGAAAGAAUAGAACUAUCAUGGAUAUUGUGAGAAGCAUAUUGCAUUGCAAAAAUUUACCCAAUAGUUUUUGGCCCAAAGUAGUGGCUUGUGUAAUAUACUUAAUAAAUAAAUUUCCUAUCAAAAGCGUACGUGAUAAAACUCCACAAGAAACUUGGAGUAGGAAAAAGCUAAAUCUCAGUAACUAGAAAUUUUUGGUUGUAUUUCUUAUGCACAUAUUCCAGAUCAACUAAGGAAAAAGCUUGACAACAAUGCAAUAAAUUGUAUCUUUUUAGGAUAUAGUGAAGAAACAAAAGCAUACAAGUUUUACAAUCCAGAAACAUAAAAGGUAGUCAUUAAUGAAGAUGUUACCUUCGAUGAAGAUGGAGCGUGGAACUGGUCAAAAAAGAAAAUGAGUUUGUGCUUGUAGCAGUUAUAAAUGAUGAAAUAGAUGAUAAAAAUAAUGAACCUUCAAAUUAACCAACACCUGUCUCACACCUCAUAGAUAUCCAGAAAGGGAGCUUCUUCCACCAUUUUACUCGCAGGAAUAUGAAGUUGGACGAUAUGACGAUUCUGAUGAUAAGGAGGAAGAAAUUACUUAUUGUGUCUUAUUUGCUGAUUGCGAUCCUGUGACGUAUGAUGAAACAACUAAUAAAGAUUGUUCUAUUAAAACAAUUAAUGAAGAAAUUCAUGCAAUUGAGAAGAAUAACAUGUGGGAGUUAAUAACACUUCUAGAAGGAAAGAAGACGAUCAAAGUCAAGUGUGUAAUCCAAAAGAAAAGGUAAAUCGCUUCAAAGCAUGAAUAGUAGCAAAAUGGUACAAACAAAAAACCGACAUUGGCUAUUUUGAAGUUUUUGCCGAAGUUUCUAGAAUGGACACAAUAUGGAUGAUUCUUUCCCUCGUCGCCUAAACUCAUUGGAAGAUAUUUCAAAUGGACGUGAGAUCUACUUUCUUGAAUGGUGUACUUGAAUAAGAAGUUUAUGUAGAUCAACCACUGGGUUAUUUACAACAAGGAGAUGGAGAUAAGGUGUACAAGUUGAAGAGAUGAAGAUAAGGUAUACAAGUUGAAGAAAGCAUUAUAUUGUUUGAAGCAAGCAUCUAAAGCUUGGUCCACAUGUAUUUGAAGGUAGAAAAAACAAGAAAGGGGGUUUGAAUUAUUUUCACUGACAAUAAUUUUUUUAGCAACACUACACACCGAAACAUAAUAACUAACAACACAGAAGUUUAUCCUAGCUCGCUUGAAAAUCAAAGUUACUCUAGUCCACCAGGCCAAGGUGAUUUCGCCUUCAAUAAGGACUUAAUCCAAUAAUCUAGAAAAAUUACAACAAAUGUCUAAGAGUUUAACAAUCUCUUAGCCCUCUCAAGUCUAUAGACUUCACAGGUCACUUGAGAAAUUACAACAACUAUUUAGAAUUACAAGAAUGUGUUUGAUGCUUCUAGAUAAGCAAGAUGAACACGAUUAAUAACAAAUGAUCAACGAUCACACUAAGAGCAACAACUCGUGUGUGAUAACUGAAUUAGAGAAUAACAAAAAUUUAAUGUAUGAUUUCAAAAUGUGUGAGUAGAAUUCUUGAGUGAGAGCUUCGUGUCACCGUAUGAUGAUAGUGAGGUCUAUAUAUAGUGCUUGAAGAUGAUACUGUUGGAGAGAGCAUUGAUGCUGAUAUCUUGCCAAUUAUGGGACUUAAUGACAUUAAUUUUCUCGUCCUUUCCGUAGCAGUCUUGGAGUGUAGUCAAUACUAUCCAUAUAUAUAUCCAUACCAUACUUAGAUUUCUUUUAUGUUAAGCUUCUAAUUUUGAUUAAUCAGAUGAUCUGUUGGGCGUGAAUCAGAGUGAGCAAAGUUCAGAGCCUUUAGGUGGCGCUUGUAUUCUUCAGAUAGUUGGUUUGUUGAUUGGUCUUCAGAGUCAGCUUGAUUGAUCUUCAGAUAGAAUGUCUUCUGAUGUACGGAUCUUCAGAGCUCAUAUGUAGGAUCUUCAGAUGUGGAGUUUCCAGAGUCUUCAGAUAAACUUUAAUGACAAAUUUUGUUCGUGAUUCCUUUGGACAUGCUUGUGGUCAGCGUCAAAUAUGAUUUAUGAUUCCUUUGGACAUGCUUGGUGUUCCAUCAGAUUUAGUUUACCUUAGAGUCCUGCACAUUUAGAGAAUUUAUUAGGGUACCAAAUGGUUUCAUUCUUUGUUAUCAUCAAAACUCAAGAGAUAUAUUGCAGAACCAAAAUCUUGUUCUAACAGUAUUGACCAACAAUGGAUUUCACAUAAGUCCAUAUGAGCAUGCUUUAUAUGUCAAAGUAAACAAGGAUGUAUAUAUUAUUAUUGUUUUAUUAUACGUGGAUGAUCUAAUCUUCACUGGAAACAAUCCCAAAUUGUUAUAAAAAUUUAAAGAGAGCAUGUCUACACAGUUUGAGAUGACAAAUAUGGGUCUAAAGUUUUAUUUUCUAGGCAUUUAAGUGAAACGUGAAAAUGAGGAGAUUUUUAUUUCACAUAAGAAAUGUGUAUCUAAUAUUAUGAAGAAAUUUAAGAUGGAAUCAUGCAAACCAAUGCUGACUCCAAUGAAAGAAAUGUUGAAACUAGAAAGAGAAAGUGGUGGUGAUACUGUAAAUUCAACAAAUUUCAAAAGGCUAGUUGGAGGCCUUAGGUACUUGACAACAACAAAAUUUGGUAUAGUUUAUGGAGUUGGACUUAUAAGAAGAUUCAUGGACUCACCGAGACAAUCACAUUGGCAAGCUACAAAGAGAGUUUUGAGGUAUAUAAAAGGAUCAAUUGAUGAAAGAAUCUUUUACACAAGUUCUAGCAAGCCAUAGUUGAUUGGAUACAUAGACAAUGAUUUGGCAAGUGAAACUAAAACUCGAAAAAAUACUUCGAGUUUUGCUUUUCAUCUUUAAAUAGGCGUGUUUUCUUAAGAAACAACAAGUACUAGAUAUGUCAAUAGUAGAGGUAGAGUACAUAGUAGCAACAAAUUGUGUAACUCAAGUAGUUUGAUUGGAGGGUUAUUAAGUGAAUUACAACAUCAACAAGAUGAUCUAACGAAUGUAUUUUGCAACGAAAAAGUAAUAAUUGCUCUAACAAAGAAUUGUCUGUUUCAUGGUCACAACAAACAUAUUGACAUCAAACACCAUUACGUAUGUGGCUUAAUCAAAGAUAAAGAAAUUGUGGUGGAGUAUUGCACUUCAAAAAAUCAAAUUGCCGAUAUUUUUAUAAAGCCACUCAAAAUCAAUUCUUUCUUGAAGAUGAAGAAUAUGUUAGAAAUGAUGAAAUCAAGUUUAAGGAAGGAUGUUAGAUGAAAUAAACUUGAAAUUCUAAUUUGGUAGAGAAACUAUGUCCAUCUGAGAGCUAUUAACCUUAUGCAUGCUUAAAGCUAUAAAUUAAAUCACCCCAUCUAAUUACAUCAUGUGCUAGUUUAAAAGAUAGCCA